UACGAAGGGGGCUAGCGUUGCUCGGAAUUACUGGGCGUAAAGCGCACGUAGGCGGAUUGUUAAGUCGGGGGUGAAAUCCUGGAGCUCAACUCCAGAACUGCCUUCGAUACUGGCGAUCUCGAGUUCGGGAGAGGUGAGUGGAACUGCGAGUGUAGAGGUGAAAUUCGUAGAUAUUCGCAAGAACACCAGUGGCGAAGGCGGCUCACUGGCCCGAUACUGACCGCUGAGGUGCGAAAGCGUGGGGAGCAAACAGG
rnacentral:rRNA from 1 species